rnacentral:lncRNA from 1 species
AAACCUAUCCCCAUGCACCCUGAGGCCUCUGCCAAAGACAGCAGCUGUCACAGACUGAGAACACUGUACAGUCACCCCUUACCCUGCAACCUUCGGAAGUGUCAGAAUCUAAGAGUGUAGGCUCAGAGAAAUAAAGCCUCAAAAAGCAGUGGAUCCAGGACUUGAGUUCAGGUCUGUCAGGUACCAAGGCCACAUUCUCUAGGCACUGCACAAAGCCCCUUCCCCUCUGAUCGACACAGAGCUGGGCCCAUGGUGGUAUUCAGGAGAACCAGGGAUGUUUGCAAACAAUGGAGCCCCUCUAGCUAAUUUAAGCAGAAAACAAUUUUAUGGAAGGCAUCAAUUAAAUCUGAACAGAACCAGAGACUUAAUCUCUGGGGGUGUUGUGGCACCUCCUCCUCCACCGAAAAUCUGAGCUAAGCUUCUCCAAAAAUCUUCACCAUAAUUGAUUUUAGGACUAUCAGCAAAAAGUCUCUACAAAAGAGUUCAAUGUAAGUGAACUUCCUAUUUUCCUGUUGCUCUAUUUUACUUGGCUACUGGCCUGGAAGAAAUCAGCACUCCAGGUGCUGAAUGCCUCUUUACUAGUUUUUCACAAACAUUUAUUCAGUAUAGUAGUUUGUAGAAAUGUGUUUGCAAAUGCGAAAUGUGAUAAUAAAAAGAUAAAUC